GGGAUGACACAGUAGGAUAAGCUAAGCACACUGUUGGUUAUGUGUGCCCAAGCAUUGAGGCAGUCAAAGUAGGCAAAUCCGCUUUGAUAAUGCUGGGAUGUGAUGGGGAGCGAAAUUUAGUAGCGAAGUAGCUGAUUUCACACUGUCAAGAAAAGUCUCUAUCGAGGUUAAAGGUACCCGUACCGCAAACCGACACAGGUGGGUGAGGAGAGUAUCCUAAGGCCAGCGAGAGAACUGUAGUUAAGGAACUCGGCAAAAUGACCCCGUAACUUAGGGAUAAGGGGUGCCACCAUCAGGUGGCCGCAGAGAAUAGGCCCAAGCGACUGUUUACCAAAAACAUAGGUUUCUGCUAAGUCGCAAGACGAUGUAUAGGAGCUGACGCCUGCCCGGUGCUGGAAGGUUAAGGGGAUCUGUUAGAGCAAUCGAAGCAGUGAACUUAAGCCCCAGUAAACGGCGGCCGUAACUAUAACGGUCCUAAGGUAGCGAAAUUCCUUGUCGGGUAAGUUCCGACCCGCACGAAAGGCGUAACGAUUUGGGCACUGUCUCAACAACAGACUCGGUGAAAUUGUAAUUCCGGUGAAGAUGCCGGAUACCUGCGACAGGACGGAAAGACCCCAUGGAGCUUUACUGUAGCUUGACAUUGGGUCUUGGUACUACAUGUACAGGAUAGGUGGGAGGCUUUGAAACCAGGACGCCAGUUUUGGCGGAGCCCUCCUUGGGAUACCACCCUUGUAGUACUGGGACUCUAACCAUAGGCCAUGAAUCUGGUCUUGGGACACUGUCAGGUGGGCAGUUUGACUGGGGCGGUCGCCUCCCAAAAGGUAACGGAGGCGCUCAAAGGUUCUCUCAGUACGG
rnacentral:rRNA from 1 species